CACGCCUCCUCAUAUGUGAGCGCCGGGUCCUGAUUGUCCAAACGCAAUUCUUGUGUCUGCCCCAAGAAUUGAGUGUGGACGUCGGGAGCCGCCGUUCCCCACCGACGCCCGGCGGA
rnacentral:pre_miRNA from 14 species